UGUUUGCAGCCUCUAGACGUCCCUGCUGCCUCAAAAUGGGCUCAAGCCCUCUCCUGCCAUAUUUUGAACUUUGGAGUGUGCAGAAGGAUGGAAAAAUACGAGUGGUGGGACACAAUGCAAAGUGAAUCUGAGCUGCCCUUAACUUCAGCCUUUGCACCGUGCCAAUAUACCUGGAAGAUGCAAUUCAUUCCACCUGGAAUGCUGAUAUUACAAACACCUAUUUAAACACAGCAGUGUUGGAGGUAACCUCACUUGCCUGGGCACAAGGUUUGAUCAUCUUUUAUGAAUACUGCACCGCUGUUUUAAGAAAAGACAAAUGCAAGGAGGGAAAAAAACAGAACCUCUGUGAUUCUUCUUUUUCCCUACGAAGUGUUAUGGGUGAAGUUUGUGGAGAAAAUCUUCCCUGCCAGAUGCUGUCUACAUCGUGGGUUUCCCCAGUUCAGAGCUGAACCUCCCACCAGUUGCGCGAUCUUCGGGCUAUGGGAACAUGGCAAGUGAAGAAAAUUUAUAGGAACAAAGCAAAGUUGGCCAACAGUUCAAAUGUUCUCUCUUGUAUUGAUGAAGGUAUACAGCACAAUCUCAGAUUAUGAUGUAUCUGCACCUUCGCUUCUGCCAGUAUUAUUUGCUGCACUCAUCAGCUGCAGAGAGACUCUACUGGAGGAAAGAUUGUGCCCAAGGACCUCCAUCCAAUGCCAGAUGCUACGUCUGGACCUUAUGCCAUGAAGGGUAUCACUGAGCAGUUUUUCUCUCCUCUACCUGCACAGAGCCGAGCCUGAUUAGUGGUGAAGGCCCGCAGCGACCAAGAAAGGUUCCAUUUCUCCUGCACCACCUCCUUCUCAGAAUUGGAAAAAAGAAAAGUAGAAGUAAAGUAACGAGAACAGCCUUGCUCUUUUUCUCCCUUCCAAGUAGAAACAAAGAAGUUUGUCUGCGAGGCUUUUACUGAAGCUUAGCCAAAGAGACCUGGUCAUCCUCUGGUAUUGAUCACCUGCCUCCCUGUCCUCCAAGAUCUGGAUGUGCUCCGCCUAUGAUCUGGACGUGGAUAGGGUUUCUCUGUCUGUGCUUCUGGCAAAUGUGGUCUGAUUCAGUCAUAGCCUCAAACAAAUGUCAGCACCUUUACUGGGAAAUGUAGUGACCAGUGGAUUAGACAAACGAGAGGGCUGGAAAUGGGACUGCUUCACGUCUUACUAUGUACCUUGUGGAGCAACAUCUGGAGAUGGUGAAGCCUGGUCUCUUGGUUUCUGCCCCUUUGGUGGGGAGGGGCUUGUCCCACCAGCUAAAGAGGACAGACCCUUUGUAGGAAAUGCUCCCAUAUGGACAGCAGAAGAUGGGAAGGUUUGGUGUUCUCAUGGGGCUGGAUCACUGCUGCAAAGGGAAGUACCUCCACAGGAUUAUUUUAUUUUGGGCAAAACUGUUUCAAAUUCUUUUUUUUUUUCUAUUUUUUUUU